rnacentral:rRNA from 1 species
UACAGAGGGUGCAAGCGUUGUUCGGAAUUAUUGGGCGUAAAGCGCGUGUAGGCGGCUUUGCAAGUCGGGUGUGAAAGCCCUCAGCUCAACUGAGGAAGUGCGCCCGAAACUGCAGAGCUUGAGUACCGGAGAGGAUGGCGGAAUUCCCCAAGUAGAGGUGAAAUUCGUAGAUAUGGGGAGGAACACCGGUGGCGAAGGCGGCCAUCUGGACGGAUACUGACGCUGAGACGCGAAAGCCAGGGGAGCAAACGGG